GGCAUAAAUUAUGCAAAACGCAAAAUAUUCAGGAUAGAUUCUGAUCCAUCCUGAAUAUUUGCUGUUUUUGCAUAAUUUAUGCCCU